CCCUAUUAUAAUUAAUGUAUAUAUAACUUUUAGUAGUAUAUGAUUUGAACAGGAAACUUAAAGAAUUUGGCGGUUUAUAUUCUAAUUAGAGGAAUAUGUUUUUUAUUGAUAAUCCACAUAAAUCUUACUUAAUUUUAUUUAUUUUGUAUAUCUCCGUCUUAAAAAAAUUUUUUGAAAUAUUUUUUGUAUUUUAUAGUUUUGAAAAAAGUCAGGUCAAGGUGCAGAUUAUAAUUAAGUUAAAAUGUAUUACAAUAAAUUUAUUUUUGGAUUAUAAGUUAAUUUUUAUAAGAAAUUGGAUUUAUAAGUAAAUUUUUUUGAAUCAUAAUGAAUUGAAUCUUGUUAAUAUAUAUGUACACAUC
rnacentral:rRNA from 1 species